AAACCUGAGAGUUUGAUCCUGGCUCAGGACGAACGCUGGCGGCGUGCCUAACACAUGCAAGUCGAGCGGUCCGGCACUCAACUAAGUGCUUACUUAA
rnacentral:rRNA from 1 species